rnacentral:rRNA from 1 species
CCCUUAGAUGUCCGGGGCCGCACGCGCGCUACACUGAAGGAAUCAGCGUGGCUUUCUCCCUGGCCCGAAAGGGUUGGGAAACCCGUUGAAUCUCCUUCGUGAUAGGGAUUGGGGCUUGAAAUUGUUCCCCAUGAACGAGGAAUUCCCAGUAAGCGCGAGUCAUAAGCUCGCGUUGAUUACGUCCCUGCCCUUUGUACACACCGCCCGUCGCUACUACCGAUUGAACGGUUUAGUGAGGGCCUCGGAUUGGUCUCGGCCCGCUCUUUACCGGGCGGCGCCGUUGGUCGAGAAGACGCUCGAACUUGAUCGUUUAGAGGGAGUAAAAGUCGUAACA